UGGGGAAUCUUGGACAAUGGGGGGAACCCUGAUCCAGCCACGCCGCGUGAGCGAUGAAGGCCUUAGGGUUGUAAAGCUCUUUCACCGGUGACGAUGAUGACGGUACCCGUGGAGGAAGCACCGGCUAACUCUGUGCCAGCAGCCGCGGUAAUACAGAGGGUGCAAACGUUGCUCGGAAUGACUGGGCGUAAAGCGCGCGCAGGUGGCCCGUUAAGUUGGCUGUGAAAUCCCCUGGCUCAACCAGGGAAGUGCAGUCGAUACUGGCGGGCUCGAGUCCCGGAGAGGGUGGUAGAAUUCCCAGUGUAGAGGUGAAAUUCGUAGAUAUUGGGAGGAAUACCGGUGGCGAAGGCGACCGCCUGGACGGGUACUGACACUGAGGCGCGAAAGCGUGGGGAGCAAACAGGAUUAGAUACCCCCGUAGUCC
rnacentral:rRNA from 1 species